rnacentral:rRNA from 1 species
GACGAACCACACAAACGUUAUUCGGAAUUACUGGGCUUAAAGGGUUCGUAGGCGGUGUGGCAAGUCGGGAGUGAAAUCUCUGGGCUCAACCCAGAGUCUGCUUCCGAAACUGCUGUGCUUGAGUGUGGGAGAGGCGCGUGGAAUUGCAGGUGUAGCGGUGAAAUGCGUAGAUAUCUGCAGGAACACCCGUGGCGAAAGCGGCGCGCUGGACCACUACUGACGCUGAGGAACGAAAGCUAGGGGAGCAAACAGG